CAGGGUGGCCUUUCUGCAUUUCACCACGAGACGAUUCAAGGCCGCCCUUCCGGGCGGCCUUUUUUCGUGCGUGCG
rnacentral:misc_RNA from 1 species